CUGCCCCUCUUACCUCUCUCCAGCUGCUCCUGUCUCUGAAGGCCCGUCUCCCCCCUCCCCUUCACCCUUUUUACAAUCCUUUCCCCUCUGCUUGAGCUCCGUUACAUGGUGUCUUCCUUUAUUGAGCCAUUUUUCUUAAAUUAUACCUAUCCCCUGCCUGCUGUGAUCUAGCAUAGGCUUUGUUAACCCAUUGCAUGUUUCUUUCCUUUAAAGGAACCACUGAUUAACUUAUCAAAUCUGGACUGGUGAUGCUGACCUCAGGGAUAAGGGCUGUAGGCAGACAGAGGUGAACUUGUGGAGCUCAGACAAUACCAGAGAAGAUAACCUACAUCAAUGGUAUGACAUCAGGGAUAAUCCACGUGUGGAAGAAUGUAAACAGACUGAUGUAAAAAGAUGCCGUCAUGCUCAAAACUGCCCGAAGGAGAUAUGAGCAAGCAGUCUGAGACUCCUGCAUGUGUGGGUCCUCCAGUUCAGCGGCAGCGUCUCCUGCUCUGGAGUCAUGAACCAAAAAAGAACUACUUCCUCCCUCAAGUUUCUUUUCAUCAGGCAUUUUGGCACGGAAAUGAGUGACAAACCCACCACAUCCUUUCCGGUUAUUCCUCCUGAGGACUACCAAGCAUAUCUAAUACAACACUGUGGCGAGCACUGGUGGUUAUCUCCGUGGUACCUGACCAGUUUGAUCACUGGAGGAGGGUUCUUCUCUCCCAGCCCCUGGGGUGGGUGAUGACCGGCUUGAGCCUGCACAGCAGCACACCAUCGCCACAGAGACUGGUUGAGGACAGCCGAUGAAACAGAAGAAGCCAGUCAACGGUCUUCCAGAAAGAUUUUCUUCAUCGAUAGGAAGAGAAGUCAGUCAGCAGGCAACUUUCCUUUCCUCUCUAAUGGACAUCACGGAUGCCUGGAUCAGGGUGUCCUAUCAGACGAUGACUAGCUAAUUGAUCAAAAUAAAGUGAAAUGUCAAGGCAAAAAUAAAGGAACCAAGUUAACUGA